rnacentral:lncRNA from 1 species
UAAAAAAUUAAAUGUCAAAAUUUAAAUAGAAGAACACAAAGGACUGAUCGAUUUCCUAUUAUACCACAUUGCAGGUCACGUGUACGGAGGCAUCAAAACAGAGGAGGAAUCAUCAGCACUCGCAAUGCCAAUGCACCGUUGGGAUCUCCAUACAUGCAUCCCUCUGGGCUCUGUCCCCCCAUCCCCGUCACCUUCAGCCUUCAGGGCAGUUGAAUCACGCAUAGAGAUCAUCAUUUUCCGCACGUUAGCCCUCGGCCCCAGGCCUACCAGUAUCAACGAACCUGCUUAAUCAACCGUUAAGCCAUUCAUUAAUUUCCCAUGCAAAACUCACACACCCUCCUAUAUUUCCCAUUAAAAAAAAG